rnacentral:rRNA from 1 species
AGUGAACGCUGGCGGCAGGCCUAACACAUGCAAGUCGAACGGCAGCACAGUAUGAGCUUGCUCUUACGGGUGGCGAGUGGUGGACGGGUGAGGAAUACAUCGGCAUCUACUUUUUCGAGGGGGAUAACGUCGGGAAACUUACGCUAAUACCGCAUACGACCUACGGGUGAAAGCAGGGGAUCUUCGGACCUUGCGCGAUCGAAUGAGCCGAUGUCGGAUUAGCUAGUUGGCGGGGUAAAGGCCCACCAAGGCGACGAUCCGUAGCUGGUCUGAGAGGAUGACCAGCCACACUGGAACUGAGACACGGUCCAGACUCCUACGGGAGGCAGCAGUGGGGAAUUUUGGACAAUGGGCGAAAGCCUGAUCCAGCCAUACCGCGUGUGUGAAGAAGGCCUUCGGGUUGUAAAGCCCUUUUGUUGGGAAAGAAAAGCAGCAGGUUAAUACCCCGCUGUGCUGACGGUACCCAAAGAAUAAGCACCGGCUAACUACGUG